rnacentral:rRNA from 1 species
AUUGAACGCUGGCGGCAGGCCUAACACAUGCAAGUCGAGCGAGCGGCGGACGGGUGAGUAAUGUCUGGGAAACUGCCUGAUGGAGGGGGAUAACUACUGGAAACGGUAGCUAAUACCGCAUACCACCUGAGUUGCCCAGAUGGGAUUAGCUCGUGGGUGGGGUAACGGCUCACCUAGGCGACGAUCCCUAGCUGGUCGGAGAGGAUGACCAGCCACACGGGAACUGAGACACGGUCCAGACUCCUACGGGAGGCAGCAGUGGGGAAUAUUGCACAAUGGGCGCAAGCCUGAUGCAGCCAUGCCGCGUGUGUGAAGAAGGCCUUCGGGUUGUAAAGCACUUUCAGCGGGGAGGCGUUACCCGCAGAAGAAGCACCGGCUAACUCCGUGCCAGCAGCCGCGGUAAUAC